rnacentral:rRNA from 1 species
AUUGAACGCUGGCGGCAGGCCUAACACAUGCAAGUCGAACGAGUGGCGGACGGGUGAGUAAUGUCUGGGAAACUGCCUGAUGGAGGGGGAUAACUACUGGAAACGGUAGCUAAUACCGCAUACCAUCAGAUGUGCCCAGAUGGGAUUAGCUAGUUGGUGGGGUAACGGCUCACCAAGGCGACGAUCCCUACCUGGUCUGAGAGGCUGAACGGCCACACGUGAACUGAGAUACGGUCCAGACUCCUACGGGAGGCAGUAUUGGGGAAUAGUGCACAAUGGGCGAAAGCCUGAUGCAGCCAUGCCGCGUGUAUGAAGAAGGCCUUCGGGUUGUAAAGUACUUUCAGCGGGGAGGCGUUACCCGCAGAAGAAGCACCGGCUAACUCCGUGCCAGCAGCCGCGGUAAUUC